rnacentral:rRNA from 1 species
CUACGGGGGGCUGCAGUUAAGAAUAUUCCGCAAUGGGCGAAAGCCUGACGGAGCGACGCCGCGUGCCGGAUGAAGACCUUCGGGUUGUAAACGGCUUUUUUUAGGGACGAACAAAUGACGGUACCUAAAGAAUAAGAGGUUGCUAACUCUGUGCCAGCAGCAGCGGUAAUACAGAGACCUCGAGCGUUAUCCGGAUUCAUUGGGCGUAAAGGGUCCGUAGGUGGCUCUGAAAGUCAUGUGUCAAAUCUUUGGGCUUAACCCAAAGUCUGCGUGUGAAACUACAGGGCUAGAGAGUGGGAGAGGCACACGGAAUUGCCGGUGUAGCGGUAAAAUGCGUUAAUAUCGGCAAGAACACCAAAGGCGAAGGCAGUGUGCUAGAACAUUUCUGACACUGAGGGACGAAAGCGUGGGUAGCGAAUGGGAUUAGAUACCCUCGUAGUC